rnacentral:rRNA from 1 species
UACGGAGGGUGCAAGCGUUAAUCGGAAUUACUGGGCGUAAAGCGCGCGCAGGCGGUUCGUCAAGUCGGAUGUGAAAUCCCCGGGCUCAACCCGGGAACUGCAUUCGAAACUGGCAGACUAGAGUCUUGUAGAGGGGGGUAGAAUUCCAGGUGUAGCGGUGAAAUGCGUAGAUAUCUGGAGGAAUACCGGUGGCGAAGGCGGCCCCCUGGACAAAGACUGACGCUGAGGCGCGAAAGCGUGGGGAGCAAACAGG